CGGGGUGCAGCAGGCGCGAAAACUUUGCAAUGCGGGAAACCGUGACAAGGGAACUCUGAGUGCCCGUAAAAUCGGGCUGUCCAUCGGUUUAAAAAACCGGUGAAGAAAGGGCCGGGCAAGACCGGUGCCAGCCGCCGCGGUAAUACCGGCGGCUCGAGUGGUGGCCACUAUUACUGGGCUUAAAGCGUUCGUAGCUGGUUUGUUAAGUCUCUGGGGAAAUCUUCCGGCUUAACCGGAAGGCGUCUCAGGGAUACUGGCAGACUAGGGACCGGGAGAGGUGAGAGGUACUCCAGGGGUAGGAGUGAAAUCCUGUAAUCCUUGGGGGACCACCUGUGGCGAAGGCGUCUCACCAGAACGGCUCCGACAGUGAGGGACGAAAGCUGGGGGAGCAAACCGGAUUAGAUACCCGGGUAGUCCCAGCUGUAAACGAUGCGCGUUAGGUGUAUCAGUGACCACGAGUCACUGAGGUGCCGAAGAGAAAUCGUGAAACGUGCCGCCUGGGAAGUACGGUCGCAAGGCGGAAACUUAAAGGAAUUGGCGGGGGAGCACAAGGGCGAUUCGCGG
rnacentral:rRNA from 1 species